UCCUCUUUAUAAGGAGACACUCUGAGAAAGAGCACAUUUUGGGGGACCCACUUGAUGUGAUGUUUUCUUGGUCUCCCAUUCCUUCUUCCAUCUGGUUCCUGUAACAGCAGGGCUCCCAGCCUCCCUCUUUCCUCUGGAGGACCACCCCUCUAGGGUCUCUGAGGAACAAUGGAAGUCUUGAGCUUUCUCCAACUAGAAGUGAAUGGCCUCAUGGUGACGGUGGCCCUGUCAGUGGUCCUCUUGGCCCUCUUGAAAUGGUAUUCCAUGUCAGCAUUUUCAAGACUGGAGAAGUUGGGCAUCAGACAUCCCAAACCUUCUCCUUUUAUUGGAAACCUGAUGUUUUUCCGCCAGGGUUUCUGGGAAAGCCAAAUGGAGCUCAGAAAACUAUAUGGACCUCGGUGUGGGUACUAUUUUGGUCGUCGCAUGGUUAUCGUCAUCUCUGAGCCAGACAUGAUCAAGCAGGUGUUGGUUGAGAACUUCAGUAACUUUACCAACAGAAUGGCAUCGGGUUUGGAGUCCCAGCCGGUAGCCAACAGCAUCCUGUUUUUACGUGACAAAAGAUGGGAAGAGGUCAGAAGCGUCCUGACUUCUGCUUUGAGUCCUGAAAAGCUGAAUGAGAUGAUGCCCCUGAUCAGCCAAGCCUGCGACCUGCUCCUGGCUCAUUUACAACGCUAUGCAGAAUCAGGAGAUGCUUGCAACAUCCAGAGGUGCUACUGCUGCUACACCACAGAUGUGGUUGCCAGCAUCGCCUUUGGCACCCAGGUGGACUCCCAAACGGCUCCCGAGGACCCCUUUGUGGAGCACUGCAGGCGUUUCUUUGCAUUCUCCAUCCCCAGACCUAUCCUGGUUUUAAUCUUAUCAUUUCCAUCCAUAAUGGUCCCACUGGCCCGGAUUUUGCCCAAUAAGAACCGAGAUGAACUGAAUGGCUUUUUUAACAAACUCAUUAGGAAUGUGAUUGCCUUGCGGGACCAGCAAGCAGCAGAAGAGAGGCGGAGAGACUUUCUCCAAAUGGUCCUGGAUGCCCGACAUUCUGCCGCCUCUGUGGGCGUGGAGAACUUUGACAUCGUCAGACAAGUCUUUUCCUCCACCAAAUCCACAGCAAAUCCUUCUCAGCGACACCAGCCCAGACCCCUGUCCAGGCCUUUGACUGUGGACGAGGUCGUGGGCCAGGCCUUCAUCUUCCUCAUCGCUGGCUACGAGAUUGUCACCAACACCCUCUCGUUCGCCACUUACCUCCUGGCCACCAACCCUGACUGCCAAGAGAAGCUUCUGAGAGAGGUGGACCAUUUUAAUGAGAAACAUACGGCCCCGGAGUACUGCAGCCUCCAGGAAGGACUGCCCUACCUGGACAUGGUGAUCAGAGAGACCUUGAGGAUGUACCCCCCAGCUUUCAGGUUCACACGGGAGGCGGUGCAGGACUGUGAGCUGCUGGGGCAGCGCAUCCCCGCGGGCACCGUGAUAGAGACAGCCGUGGGCGCGCUGCACCACGACCCCGAGCACUGGCCGCGCCCCGAGGCCUUCGACCCCGAGAGGUGAGCGCUGGAUCUUCAAAUGGGCCACGGAGGGACACGGAGGGGGAUUGGAGGUGGCCACCAGCUUUAGUAAAGUUGUCCUCAAAACUCAAAAGUCACGGCAAUCAGACCUUCGCAAGGCAUAAUUUCUGAAGGGAACAAUUGUACCAUUUUAAAAAGCCCCGAGGGAAUCCAGAGAUUUAGCAUUUCAGCAGCACUACAUGCAAGUAACAAGGACAUUUCAAAUGGGUGUCCUCUGUUUGUUCAAGCCAAGAAACAGAACACGGGAUUGUAUUUGGGGUGUGCACUAGAAAGUAACAAAACAUCAUUUCCUUUUUUAAAAAUUGGCACCUUUUCCAAAACAGGAGUAUUGCCUAAAUUUCUCAGAGAUCCAGAUAGGCCAACAUGGGCAACCUGGAUCCCCCCUCCGGUCCCCUACAUGGAUUUGGUCUAUUGUCUAGGCUCCCAAUUGAAAAUGUCCGAGCAGGUAUUCACAGCCCCUUCUCAUCAGAAUCCAUGUAUAUCCCUUCCUCGCGUGCUCUGGCAAGGAGAGGGCCAGCCAGGCAGCAGCUGUGUUUCCACCUUUGGUGCCUCCAACUUCCUGUGGAACCAGCCCCAACUCUACAACCCGGUCACUGGGAAACCACGGGCAGUGGAACCUAGAUAAAUAAUAUUCCUUUGCGCAGCAGCUCCUGGAAAUACGGGAAAGAUCAAGCGCUAUAAACACUGCAGGGCUUCCUGCGCGACCUUCGAAAACAAAAAGCGCAUUAGUAUGAUAUUGAAAAGGGUAGGUCAAGGGCUCCUUGGGCACUGAAAAGUCCAGAGGUAGUAAGAAGUGAGCUGGCUAUUACAAAACAGUGGUUGUCACCUAGCUUUACUGUCACCGAAAACACGUGGCAAAUGCUGCCAUUUGACAGCAGAAGCGGCAAUUCCUCCCAGCGGUUCAUAUAUAGCAACCCCCAACGGUUCGAGUUUCACUGCUUGAACCAGAAGGCCAGUGCGGGCAGGGGAGACGGCUGCCCCGCAUGGCAUCGAGAGACAAACUGGCAGGACAUGGCCUCCAGGGGGGCAGGUGCCCGGGGACUCUGCUUUGCAAGCUGGUGAUGGCGAUGGCGGGUGUCACCCUCUGGCCAACGGGGAAGUUGGAGCCCUGGGCGCAGGUUCACGGCCGAGGCCUGGCGGCGCCAGCGGCCCUUUACGUACCUGCCGUUCGGCGCGGGCCCGCGGAGCUGCCUCGGGGUGCGGCUGGGGCUGCUGGAGGUCAAGCUGACGCUGC